CACACACACACACACACACAAUAUUAGGCUGAGGGUUAGGGUUAGUGGUUAGAGUCAGGGUCAAGGUAAGGGUUAGGGUUAGGUUGGGGUUAGGGUACAGUCUGAGGCUGUAGCAGUAGGUUUAGUUUAGGGUUAGGUUAGGGUGAGGGUUAGGGUACAAUCUGAGGCUGUAGCAGUAGGUUUAGUUUAGGGUUAGGUUAGGGUGAGGGUUAGGGUACAGUCUGAGGCUGUAGCAGUAGGUUUAGUUUAGGGUGAGGGUUAGGGUACAAUCUGAGGCUGUAGCAGUAGGUUUAGUUUAGGUUAGGGUGAGGGUUAGGGUACAAUCUGAGGCUGUAGCAGUAGGUUUAGUUUAGGGUUAGGUUAGGGUGAGGGUUAGG
ensembl:lncRNA